GACCUCUCCGGUAGCCUAGUGGUUAGAGCGUCCGGCUCGGAUGCGGGAAAUCGCGGGUUAGAACCUCGGCCGAGUCA